rnacentral:rRNA from 1 species
AUUGAACGCUGGCGGCAGGCCUAACACAUGCAAGUCGAGCGAGCGGCGGACGGGGGAGUAAAGUCUGGGAAACUGCGUGAUGGAGGGGGAUAACUACUGGAAAAGGUAGCUAAUACAGCAUAUGACCUGAUGUGCCCAGAUGGGGUUAGCUAGUAGGGGGGGGAAUGGCUCACGUAGGCGACGAUCCCUAGCUGGUCUGAGAGGAUGACCAGCCACACUGGAACUGAGAAACGGUCCAGACUCCUACGGGAGGCAGCAGUGGGGAAUAGUGCACAAUGGGCGCAAGCCUGAUGCAGCCAUGCCGCGUGUGUGAAGAAGGCCUUCGGGUUGUAAAGCACUUUCAGCGAGGAGGCGUUACCCGCAGAAGAAGCACCGGCUAACUCCGUGCCAGCCGCCGCGGUAAUAC